UUUGGUAUAUCCAAACCUCGUGCAGCCAUCUGGCAGUGUUGUUAGCUGGCCGCUAGGAGUCGCUCUUUAGGCCCUCUAUCAACGCUGCCCUACGGAAGCGCGACACGUCAUCAUGUAAAUAU
rnacentral:precursor_RNA from 16 species